GCGGAAGUGGCGCAGCGGUAGCGCACGUCCUUGCCAAGGACGGGGUCGCGGGUUCGAAUCCCGUCUUCCGCU
rnacentral:tRNA from 1 species